GUCGGGUGUGGUGGCACACACCUGAAAUCCCAGCACCUCGGGAGGCUGAGGCAGGAGGGUUGUAAGUCCACAGCCAGCCUCAG
rnacentral:sRNA from 1 species